CCUACGGGUGGCUGCAGUGGGGAAUAUUGCGCAAUGGGCGCAAGCCUGACCCAGCAACGCCGCGUGAAGGAAGAAGGCUUUCGGGUUGUAAAGCUCUUUUCUGAGGGACGAUAAUGACGGUACUUCAGGAGUAAGCCCCGGCUAACUUCGUGCCAGCAGCCGCGGUAAUACGUAGGGGGCAAGCGUUAUCCGGAUUUACUGGGGGUAAAGGGUGUGUCGGGGGGUGUGUAAGUCAGAGGUGAAAACGAUGGGGUCAACCCGUAGCCUGCCUUUGAAACUGUCGUACUUGAGUGCAGGAGAGGCAGGCGGAAUUCCGAGUGUAGCGGUGAAAUGCGUAGAUAUUAGGAGGAACACCAGUUGCGAAGGCGGCUCACUGGACUGUAACUGACGUUGAGGCACGAAAGCGUGGGGAGCAAACAGGAUUAGAUACCCCUGUAGUC
rnacentral:rRNA from 1 species